AGAGACACCCUCCACACCCAAGAAUAGUCUACUGGUUGAAGCAGUCACCUGGAAUGUGGGAGUCUCAGACUUGGAGCAGGAACUUUAACGUGGGCCUACUACAUCCCAGGAGUGAGGAAAUGCUGUGGAAGUACUUUUGCAGUAUAUAUAGAAGCAGAAUAAAAAGGAGGAAAAUAUUCUACUUCCAGACUUUACGAAUACUUUGAUCCUUGUUGAGGAUAGCACUGGUACUAAGCUACACAGACUGAAUCUGGAGGGCCUGCUCUCUUAUAUCCUCAGAUUCUUAUUGUCAGAGUGAUCAGGCCAAAGAAUGUUCUGGAGCGAUGAGGAAACUGAGGCAAAGAAAUAUAUGUAGG